UGGGGAAUAUUGGGCAAUGGAGGAAACUCUGACCCAGCCAUGCCGCGUGAAUGAUGAAGGCCUUAGGGUUGUAAAGUUCUUUCGCCGAUGAAGAUAAUGACGGUAGUCGGAGAAGAAGCCCCGGCUAACUUCGUGCCAGCAGCCGCGGUAAUACGAAGGGGGCUAGCGUUGUUCGGAAUUACUGGGCGUAAAGCGAGCGUAGGUUGCUCGAUAAGUCAGUGGUGAAAGCCCAGAGCUCAACUCUGGAACUGCCAUUGAAACUGUCGAGCUGGAAUCUCAGAGGGGGUAGCGGAAUUCCAAAUGUAGGGGUGAAAUCCGUAGAUAUUUGGAGGAACACCGGUGGCGAAGGCGGCUACCUGGAUGAGUAUUGACACUGAGGCUCGAAAGCGUGGGGAUCAAA
rnacentral:rRNA from 1 species